UUAAAUAUGGACGAGAGAAAAACCAAUUGCACAGUUUGCAUGUAAAUUGCGAGACGAAUCUUUUUAGUCUAAUUACGCCAUGAUUUGACAAUGUGGUGCUGCAGUAAACAUUUGCUAAAAAGAAUUAAUUAGGCUUAAUAAAUUCAUCUCGCGGUUUAUAGGUCGAAUCUGUAAUUUAUUUUGUUAUUAGUCUACGUUUA
rnacentral:misc_RNA from 1 species